rnacentral:other from 1 species
AGGUCCAUCGCGUUCGCGUGAGCUCUAUAUUUCCUUGAACCGAUGCUCUACGAGCAAGGGCUUGGAAAAUGCCCGGCGGGCGUGAUCGUCUCGCGUCAGAUGAACCCGAAGCCCGGCUGACCUCGCCCACCUGAAUCCCCCUGGGUUCAGGAAUGCGGUUCACGGUUCGCGGUGGACACC